rnacentral:rRNA from 1 species
UACGUAGGUGACCAGCGUUGUCCGGAUUUACUGGGCGUAAAGAGCGCGCAGGCGGUCGUUCAAGUCGAGUGUGAAAGCCCCCGGCUCAACUGGGGAGGGUCACUCGAUACUGAUCGACUUGAAGGCAGGAGAGGGAAGCGGAAUUCCCGGUGUAGCGGUGAAAUGCGCAGAUAUCAGGAGGAACACCGGUGGCGAAGGCGGGACUCUGGGCCGAUACUGACGCUGAGGAGCGAAAGCGUGGGGAGCGAACAGG